CUCCUACGGGAGGCAGCAGUAAGGAAUAUUGGUCAAUGGACGCAAGUCUGAACCAGCCAUGCCGCGUGAAGGAAGACGGCCCUACGGGUUGUAAACUUCUUUUGUACGGGAAAAAACCACCGGUCGUGAACCGGUGCUGAUGGUACCGUAAGAAUAAGCAUCGGCUAACUCCGUGCCAGCAGCCGCGGUAAUACGUAGGGUGCGAGCGUUAAUCGGAAUUACUGGGCGUAAAGGGUGCGCAGGCGGUUAUUUAAGACAGAUGUGAAAUCCCCGGGCUCAACCUGGGAACUGCGUUUGUGACUGAAUGGCUAGAGUGCGGCAGAGGGGGGUGGAAUUCCACGUGUAGCAGUGAAAUGCGUAGAGAUGCGGAGGAACACCGAUGGCGAAGGCAGCCCCCUGGGCCAGCACUGACGCUCAUGCACGAAAGCGUGGGGAGCAAACAGGAUUAGAUACCCUGGUAGUCCACGCCCUAAACGAUGUCAACUAGGUGUUGGGAGCAAUCUCAGUGGCUAAGCGAAAGUGAUAAGUAUCCCACCUGGGGAGUACGUUCGCAAGAAUGAAACUCAAAGGAAUUGACGA
rnacentral:rRNA from 1 species